UUAAAUUGAAGAGUUUGAUCAUGGCUCAGAUUGAACGCUGGCGGCAGGCCUAACACAUGCAAGUCGAACGGUAACAGGAAGCAGCUUGCUGCUUCGCUGACGAGUGGCGGACGGGUGAGUAAUGUCUGGGAAACUGCCUGAUGGAGGGGGAUAACUACUGGAAACGGUGGCUAAUACCGCAUA
rnacentral:rRNA from 1 species